rnacentral:sRNA from 1 species
UGAGGAGGAAAGGGAG